UACGUAGGGAGCAAGCGUUAUCCGGAUUUACUGGGUGUAAAGGGCGCGUAGGCGGGGAUGCAAGUCAGAUGUGAAAUCCCGAGGCUCAACCUCGGAACUGCAUUUGAAACUGUAUUUCUUGAGUGAUGGAGAGGCAGGCGGAAUUCCUAGUGUAGCGGUGAAAUGCGUAGAUAUUAGGAGGAACACCAGUGGCGAAGGCGGCCUACUGGGCUUUAACUGACGCUGAGGCACGAAAGCGUGGGUAGCAA
rnacentral:rRNA from 1 species